GCGGGAUUAGUAUAGUGGUAGUACGCCACCUUGCCAAGGUGAUGGCGCCGGUUCGAUUCCGGUAUCCCGCUCAA
rnacentral:tRNA from 1 species